AAUCAUCGAUCAUCGAUGUCGAUAUUCCAGGCGGACUGGUCGUCACCAGUGAGGCUCUUCCACCACCGUGGGUCGUCGUCUGCCCUAAUGUGAGCUUGACCUUGCCUUGCUGCUCCAAUUGGUUCUCUGGUGGUCAUGGAGCAGCUCCAUCAGAUCAUUGGUGAGGGUACUUGGAUUGAAAAUCCACUUGCAGGUGAAAUGUGAAGGUUUUAGAGCUGGGUUGAGGGCUUUGAUUCAUGGUAAGUUACUAUAGUGUUUUGGUUGAUCUCUUGUUGGUAUUAGGUUGAUAUGGAUUGGAUCAAAUUCUAUUUGAGCUGUUAAG